AACAUGUCUUAAGAUGACCAACAUUGUCCCAGUUCCCAAGAACUCCAAGUUAAAUAAAGGUCUCGAGAGGAAGACAUGAAGACUAGUUCAUCUAUACCGUACCACUUUUCCAUAUAUAUGUUCAUUACACAUAUGAAUCCAUGAAUUCCUGACAGAACAACGGCUACCAUGGCUAGAAGAAGAGAUAUCAGGGAUUUGGAAAGAGGGGGUCUCAAAGGAGCAUAGGGUGUGUGUGUGUAUGUAUGUGUGAGUUUGUGUGUGUGUCUCAGUCACCAGAUCUCAACCCAAAUUGAACCCUUAUGGUGUUUUCCACCACCAUCAACAAUGGAAUUUCUCAUGGAAUAAUGGUGUUGCAUCCCUCCAAUAGAGUUCCAGACUCUUAGAACAAGUAGAUCUAUGCCAAGGAGAAAUCGAAGCUGUUCUGACUCGUGGUGGCCCAACACGCUAUUAAGACACUAUGUUGGUGUUUCCUUUAUUUUGGCAGUUACCUGUAUGCGUGAAACUGACACAGUGUAAAGGAUCAGAACAGAGCAGCAGAGUGGAGGCUAAGACCCCGAUGCAGACACAGGAGGCGGAUAGUACGAGACUCAGAGUUUAUUACAGUACAAGGGGCAGGCAAAAGGUAAGUCAAGGCAGGCAAAAUGUCAUAAUCCAAAUCAGAGUCAGGCAGGUACAGAACGGCAGGCAGGAUCAGGGUCAGGACAGGCAGAAUGGUCAGAACUAGGAAGACUAGGAAAAACAAAAACAGAAGACAAAGGGCUGUGAGACAGGGGUUUAACUCUAGAUACAUGGAAAGUGGGAUGUAUACCGGAGAGUGCAGGGCAACAGAAGGCGAACAGAAGAGGGGCUCAGGACCAUAGAGAUGGGAAUGGGUUGAUAAAAUAGGGGGGAAGUUUGCGGGACUCCAGCUGGAGGGGCAGAUCCCGAGUUGAAAGCCCUUUGCCCAAGACUGUAGCGGGGAGCAGGGUCCGGUGGCAGUCUGCCUGUCGUCGAUACCUGGAGGUGGUCUUGAGAAGAGCGGCCCGGGCUCUCUUCCAGGUACAGUGACAGUGACAGAGGAAGGUAUGCUGACCUCUUCCUCUUGCUCUGGGAAGAGUGGGGUCUGAUUUCCCACGGAACACUUGAAAGGCAAGAGACCCGUAGCAGACCAGGGAAGGGUGUUGCGGGAAUAUUCUACCCACAUGAGUUGCUGGCGCCAGGUGGUGGGAUUGGUGGAGACGAGGCAACAAAGUGUCAUCUCCAAGUCCUGACUGGCUCGCUCCGACUGGCCGUUAGACUGGGGAUGAAAACCAGAGGACAGGCUGGUUGACGAUCCAAUGAGGGUGCAGAAUGUCUUCCAGAACCGGGAUGAGAACUUAGGACCACGAUCAGAGACCAUGUCGACUGGAAGUCCAUGGAUCUGGAAGACGUGUUGCACCAGCUGGGCCGUCUCUUUAGCUGAGGGCAACUUAGGAAGGGGGAUAAAAUGGGUGGCUUUGGAAAACCUCUCCACCGCCGUAAGGAUGGUUUUGCCAUCUGAUGGAGGGAGAUCCGUGACGAAGUCUAAGGAUAUAUGGGACCAGGGCGGUGAGGAACAGAGAGUGUUUGAAGGAGGUCUUGUUCUGAGCACACACAGUGCAGGCGGCAACAAACACGCAGAAGUCAGGAACCAUGGUGGGCCACCAAAAACAUUGUCGGACUAAAUCCAAGGUCCGAUGGGAGGAAGGAUGACAGGUGAGUCUCGAGGAAUGUGCCCAUUCCAGAAUCUGAGAAUGGGCAGAGUCCGGAACAAACAUCCGCUUAGCUGGGCCCCCCUCCCCCGGGGUAGGAACACUGCGCCUUGCAGACCAGACUCUUGAUUCCCCAGAUGAUAGCAGCUGCUAGACAGGAAGUAGGGAGGAUGGUCUUGGGGUCCAAUGGUGUAGUAGCGGGGCUGUACAGAAGUGAGAGCGCGUCAGGCUUCACAUUCUUGGACCCCAGGAGGUAGGAGAUAGUGAAAUAGAAACAAGUGAAUAACGGGGCCCAUCUUAAUAACAGGGCCCACAAACACAAAUCAGUUCAACAUGUCACUGAGCACAUCAUUGACCAGGGCCUGGAACACUGCAGGAGCGUUGGUCAGUUCGAACGGCAUCACCAGGUACUCAUAGUGCCCACUAGCCAUGUUAAAGGCUGUCUUCCACUCGUCUCCUUCCCAUAUCCAAACCAGAUGGUAGGUGUUCCGAAGGUCAAACUUGGAGAAGAUGACUGCCCCCGGAUGGAUUUGGACUGGCCUCCCCACAACAGGGUAGCAGAGAGGGGGUUACGAGUAGUGAGAGAUUGGAAACUCCCCGUACGGCUCACCAGUGUACUUGUACCUACUGAUGAGCCUGGUCUUUUAAUAAGAAAUGUCCCGUAGCUCCACAAUACAGGAAGCUCUUGGUGUUUAGUCUGUGUAAGCGCCCAGCAGGAGACAAUCUAGCCCUGCCCAGUUGCAUCGGCUUCGGAGGAGGCGAGUCAUCAGCCCUCUGUGAUUUCCGAGAGAACUCAGGUGACAUCGGAUUCACUCGGAAAUGUAGACUUCUGGGAUUUCCUCGG